CAGAGCUACAGUUCUUAGAGUUCCUUGGAAACAGUUCCUUGGACUGACUUGUUAAACCACUCUCAGAACUGUAGCUCUAGGAGGGGAAUUGGGAUAUCCCAACAACUUUCACCAUCCUUAACAAAGCCCUCGUGAUUCUUUGAGGGAAGCCACGACUGUGUCAAAUGGUAUGAAACAGCUUAAAAUGUAUAGUGUAGGCAGCAUCACAAUCUCACUGGCUUCUGUCAAGACUGUCACUUCCACAAACUUAUCAAAAGGCAGGGGCAGGCUGACUUCUAACAUAACCACUGGCCAGAGCAUUGCCUGCCCGCUUCUCAAAUUUCUUAAAAAACAGGGGCUGCAACAUUGGUUUUUGAAAAAGAAAAGAAAAGCUAUAGCAAAUUCGCUUUAAAAAAAAUUCUGACAAAGAAAUUAUUGCCAGCAGAGAGACCUAGAAUCUAGGCAAUAGCGCAAUAUCUAGGUUUUAUGCCAAUAGCAGGUGGCUCAUGAGAAUUAACUGGGGAAGAUCCCUGACCUUUCUCACAAAAGUACAAGUUUUCAGGAUUAUUAGAAAAGGAGAGGGAAUGCCUGCUGAAUCAGUUUCAGUCUGCAGUCUUGAUGUGCCUGAGAUUUGGAUGAAGGCCAAAGGAAGCCUUAGGUAAAGGCAGGCAGAGGAAUGUUCAUGAAAAUCAAACACAGACCUGAUUACUGAUUCAGUAGCUUCUUCUAGCACCUCAGCUGAAAAUAAUUACGAAGUUUCCUUGUAGGAAAGGGGAGCAGGAAGAGGACAGAUUCUCUUCAUCCUCAGGAAAGGAAAUGUUGUUCAAAAGACAAGAGACUAAGGACCCCGGGCCCCGAUUUAGCACCCUACGUCGUGCUUUAAAAAUAUGUAUUUGCAAUGGCACAUUAAAGCAAAAGCUGAGCGAAAUGUGUCUGUGAUUUUUCAUUGCUUAGGCAUGUAUUGAUAUUUGACCCUCUCUCUGCUGCAGGCUGAUGGAAUGGUUCUUAGGUGAAGAAGAGCCAUAUCAUGUUGUACACACAACAGCACAAACACAAUAUUACCUUCAAGUGUUGCUUGUGGGCUUCCCCGACCCCAUUUGCUUGGUCAGUGUGGGAAAGGCAAUGAUGGACUAGGUGUAAAUGUGUAUAUCACUUGAGUGUACAUAUUGGGCCUUGUUUGUACAACCGGGUAAGCCAAAUUAUGACCUACCAGAUCCUUGCCUACAACACAUGGUUAGUGAGGCAAAACUUUAACCAUAAGCUAGGGUUUGGAUCAUAAGGGAUGCGGGUGGCACUGUGGGUUAAACCACAGAGCCUAGGACUUGCCGAUCCAACGGUCGGUGGUUCGAAUCCCCACGACGGGGUGAGCUCCCAAUGCUUGGGCCCUGCUCCUCC